UCGGAGGUGGAAGUUGGACUUACUUCUUUUUGAAUAUCAAGAGUGCCUACAACAGCUCAUGUGGAAAUGGGGAGAUACUAAGCCUUCUGCCAAGAAGGUGUCAACAUCCAUGAAUGAAGAGAAAUGUGUUCUGAAGGGAACUGAAAUGUGGCCCCCAUCUGGAGACUUCCAGGAAUUGCAGUCAUAUGUGUUACACCAUCUUUAUCCCUGGGAAUUGACCCUAGAAGGCAACAGUGUCCCAGGGCCAUGAGAGCCAGAGAGCAGAGUGCAGUUCCUACCCCGACUGACACUCCGCAGCAGAGCCGUGGUUCCACAGUUAAAAGAAAUGAGAACAAAAACAAUGUGUGGCAGCGUGACAACUUUCGGGCACCAUGUGAAUGGUUGAUGGUUAAGGGCUGGCUGCCCACUGAGAAAGGACAUCCUGG